rnacentral:rRNA from 1 species
AUUGAACGCUGGCGGCAUGCUUUACACAUGCAAGUCGAACGGCAGCGCGGGCUUCGGCCUGGCGGCGAGUGGCGAACGGGUGAGUAAUGCAUCGGAACGUGCCCAGUAGUGGGGGAUAGCCCGGCGAAAGCCGGAUUAAUACCGCAUACGACCUGAGGGUGAAAGCGGGGGACCGAAAGGCCUCGCGCUAUUGGAGCGGCCGAUGUCGGAUUAGCUAGUUGGUGGGGUAAAGGCUUACCAAGGCGACGAUCCGUAGCUGGUCUGAGAGGACGACCAGCCACACUGGGACUGAGACACGGCCCAGACUCCUACGCGAGGCAGCAGUGGGGAAUUUUGGACAAUGGGGGCAACCCUGAUCCAGCCAUGCCGCGUGCGGGAAGAAGGCCUUCGGGUUGUAAACCGCUUUUGUUCGGGAAGAAAUCCUCUGGGCUAAUACCCCGGGGGGAUGACGGUACCGGAAGAAUAAGCACCGGCUAACUACGUG